ensembl:miRNA MIR455 microRNA 455
UCCCUGGCGUGAGGGUAUGUGCCUUUGGACUACAUCGUGGAAGCCAGCACCAUGCAGUCCAUGGGCAUAUACACUUGCCUCAAGGCCUAUGUCAUC